UACAGAGGGUGCAAGCGUUAAUCGGAGUUACUGGGCGUAAAGGGCGCGUAGGUGGUUAUUUAAGUUGGAUGUGAAAGGCCUGGGCUUAACCUAGGAAUUGCAUACGAUACUGAAUAGCUAGAGUACUGUAGAGGGUAGUGGAAUUUCCGGUGUAGCAGUGAAAUGCGUAGAGAUCGGAAGGAACACCAGUGGCGAAGGCGGCUACCUGGACAGAUACUGACACUGAGGCGCGAGAGCGUGGGGAGCAAACAGG
rnacentral:rRNA from 1 species